rnacentral:rRNA from 1 species
CCUACGGGUGGCUGCAGUGGGGAAUAUUGGACAAUGGGCGAAAGCCUGAUCCAGCCAUGCCGCGUGUGUGAAGAAGGCCUUCGGGUUGUAAAGCACUUUCAGUGGGGAAGAAAGCCUUGGGGCUAAUACCCUCGAGGAAGGACAUCACCCACAGAAGAAGCACCGGCUAACUCCGUGCCAGCAGCCGCGGUAAUACGGAGGGUGCGAGCGUUAAUCGGAAUUACUGGGCGUAAAGCGCGCGUAGGCGGUCUGAUAAGCCGGUUGUGAAAGCCCCGGGCUCAACCUGGGAACGGCAUCCGGAACUGUCAGGCUAGAGUGCAGGAGAGGAAGGUAGAAUUCCCGGUGUAGCGGUGAAAUGCGUAGAGAUCGGGAGGAAUACCAGUGGCGAAGGCGGCCUUCUGGACUGACACUGAAGCUGAGGUGCGAAAGCGUGGGUAGCAAACAGGAUUAGAUACCCAGUAGUC